GGGGACGACUGGUUUUGACAGCAAGACCAAUUUAUAUAGCAGCAUGCCGAGUCAUGAAAUAGUACUCGUAAAUCCCGAUUUCACUUUAUAAACGGCGAAGAUAACUACGCGUUGGCUGCCUAAUCUGAAUGAUAGUAGGAUGGGCCUCGUUGCACAAGGUGCAAGAGCCAACUGUCUCUUGAAAGCCCUGGUUAGCGGCGUUCAGUAAAGAGACAUCGUAAAAGUUAACCUAGGAAUACUGGUGUUUUGACGGUAUUCUAACAACAAAGAAACUAAGUCUAAGGUGGGCGGUUUUUGGCCAGCCUUGGAUCGAAAAACAAGCAAAAACUAAGCAUGUAGAAACUAUCUGAAUUGCUUGUUUGGACCCGGGUUCGAUUCCCGGCGUCUCCACUU
rnacentral:tmRNA from 1 species